GUACGAUGAUGAAAAUCUGGUUCCUUACAUUCGCAGUUUCCACGGUAGGGGUACGCCAACGAACCCUCGUAUAGUACCUUCGUUGACCGCUCAUUCUUGAGACCUUCCUAGGAUGUCUGAGUAC
rnacentral:snoRNA from 1 species